GACGAACGCUGGCGGCGUGCUUAACACAUGCAAGUCGAACGGAAAGGCCCUGCCUGCAGGGUACUCGAGUGGCGAACGGGUGAGUAACACGUGGGUGAUCUGCCCUGCACUUCGGGAUAAGCCUGGGAAACUGGGUCUAAUACCGGAUAGGAGCCAUUUUUAGUGUGAUGGUUGGAAAGUUUUUUCGGUGUAGGAUGAGCUCGCGGCCUAUCAGCUUGUUGGUGGGGUAAUGGCCUACCAAGGCGGCGACGGGUAGCCGGCCUGAGAGGGUGGACGGCCACAUUGGGACUGAGAUACGGCCCAGACUCCUACGGGAGGCAGCAGUGGGGAAUAUUGCACGAUGGGCGCAAGCCUGAUGCAGCGACGCCGCUGGGGGAUGACGGCCUGGUGUAACUCUUCGCUAGGACGAAGACGUUUUGUUGACGGUACCGUACGAGUAAGAA
rnacentral:rRNA from 1 species